rfam:Gossypium raimondii Chr09_contig_675, whole genome shotgun sequence.
AAACCAUGAUAUGGACAAUGGCGCAACAUUAACUUAAAGCACUCUCAUACCUCAUAUAAUGACUCUCAUUCCAAUUGUCAAAAAUUCGUAAUAUUCAUACGAAGUUU